rnacentral:rRNA from 1 species
UACAGAGGGUGCUAGCGUUGUUCGGAAUUAUUGGGCGUAAAGGGCGCGUAGGCGGUGCGGUAAGUCACCUGUGAAAUCUCCUGGCUCAACUGGGAGCUUGCAGGCGAAACUGCCGUGCUGGAGUGUGGGAGAGGUGAGUGGAAUUCCUGGUGUAGCGGUGAAAUGCGUUGAUAUCAGGAAGAACACCAGUGGCGAAAGGCGGCUCACUGGCCCGGUACUGACGCUGAGGCGCGAAAGCGUGGGGAGCAAACAGG